rnacentral:rRNA from 1 species
UUUUAUGGAGAGUUUGAUCCUGGCUCAGGAUGAACGCUGGCGGCGUGCCUAAUACAUGCAAGUCGAGCGAACGGACGAGAAGCUUGCUUCUCUGAUGUUAGCGGCGGACGGGUGAGUAACACGUGGAUAACCUACCUAUAAGACUGGGAUAACUUCGGGAAACCGGAGCUAAUACCGGAUAAUAUUUUGAACCGCAUGGUUCAAAAGUAAAAGACGGUCUUGCUGUCACUUAUAGAUGGAUCCGCGCUGCAUUAGCUAGUUGGUAAGGUAACGGCUUACCAAGGCAACGAUGCAUAGCCGACCUGAGAGGGUGAUCGGCCACACUGGAACUGAGACACGGUCCAGACUCCUACGGGAGGCAGCAGUAGGGAAUCUUCCGCAAUGGGCGAAAGCC